rnacentral:rRNA from 1 species
AUGUACCGUGCGCUCACACAUUCUGAGGUACUAGUAAGUAAUAACAAGAAAAUUUGGAAGUCCAAGAUUCCACUAAAAGUGAAAUUUUUCAUGUGGUAUCUUUGUAAGGGAGUUGUGUUGACCAAAGACAACCUCGCACGACGCAACUGGCCACGGAGUAAGAAGUGUUGUUUUUGUACUCAUGACGAGACAAUCAAACACCUCUUUUUUCAAUGCAAGUUUGCACGUUCUACGUGGUCAAUCAUCCAAAUAGCGUCAAAUUUAUAUCCGCCCACAAGUGUUGCCAAUAUAUUUGGUCACUGGUUGGACGAUAUUCCAAAUAGGUUUAAAGCGCUUAUAAGGGUGGGAGCGUACGCCUUAAUUUGGUCGCUCUGGCUAUGUAGAAACGAUUUGGUUUUUAAUAAAAAAAAUGCUUCUCCUCUGCAGGUUAUUUUCCGUUGUACGCAAUCGCUUCAUACAUGGUCUAUGCUACAACGAUCGGAGCACCAAUCGCUGUUCAAGGCGGUGUGUACGCGGUUGAAGCAGGUGGCUACGGAGGUUUUUUCCCAACAUGGGUGGCAGCAUAACCUCCGGAUCGAUCCACCACCACCUUCGACAUAG